UUGCAUCCACAUCAUGUUGAAAAACUGGUUCCUGUGUGAUUACAAAAGUUAAGCAACGUUGAGCCUGAUCAGUACCUAGAUGGGUGACCAUUUGGGAAUACAAGGCACUGUAAG